UAUGAGUAUCAGAAUAUGCAAUAGAGGAUUACUGAAGUGGAAGUGGAUGCGUACCUGAUCAGCAAACGGCAACGCGCUAUCACAAAAUGAGAUUAGUGCAUAGUAAUGAACAUAAAGUAUGUCACUCAUGUCACCAAAACAGAUAAAGAAGCACCAAUAGCACGCAUGAUAUUUCAUUCAAAAUUCAUUUUUAUUUUAAAGCAAAUUUAUUUGAUGUAGGGCCCCCACCAAAGCCCGUUUAUUUUGCAUGAACCAAAUCCGUAAAUUCCAUCAUUAGGAAUUACAAAAUUUGAUUCUUG
rnacentral:lncRNA from 1 species